AAGAGUAGCCAUCAUGAUGAAAAAGAAAACGGACCAAAGAGGAGCAACAGGCAUACGUGCAAGAGCUUCUGGGUAAACCACAAAGGCAAGUCCGGGACCUGAAAAUAUAGUUCAGACAGAGAUGGGACCUAAACUGGCGUAUUGACCGAUUCCGAGCUCAAGAAAGAACAGAGGGAGACCAACGAUAGCCAACAUGAUUGUGUAAGGAACCAGAAAUGCGCCUGUAAAAGAAACAGCAAAAUAUUUGAUGGAUGGAUUAAAAUUAAGAUUGAGAGAGGAUAAACUCACCACCGCCGUUUUUGUAGCACAGAUACGGAAAUCGCCACACAUUUCCAAGGCCGACCGCAUAACAGAUACAUGUUAACAGGAACUCGAGCUUGCCACCCCAUGUGGCUCUCUCUUCUUCAUUACCGCUCCCCGUGCUUGUACUUGUACUAUCGUUACUUCCUUCAGAACACUUCUCAGGAAUACUGCUGGCAUAGUCGUUUACUUCAGACUAAAACAUAUAAAAGAAAGGAAAAACGUUAAAUAUAUUUCGUUUUUACAUAUUCUUUAGAAUGCAUAUUUAUUUUACAAUUUGUUACAGAAGUAUUUGUUUUAAUUACAGAUCCCGGUCUAUAUAUAUAAAAAUAAUGUUUAAAUGUUUUGAUUAUUACAUAUUCUAAAGAAUACAUAUUAUAUAGAAUAUGUUUUACUUAACAAUAUGUUACCUAAAUAUUUGUAUAAAUCAAGUCCUUUUGUCAAUAUUGAAAUUGUAUUUUUUGUAUGAUGUUUUCAGCGAUGUAGGUUUUUAUAUGCAAGGCCAAGCUGUUGCAGCCGCCUGGUGACUCAGAGUAUGACUCGACGGCCAGCUAUGUCCUCUCUCUCUCUUUCAAAUUAUUUAUGGCUCACAUUCACGCAGGGUGAUUUAUCGCUUCGUUCCUAUGGUUACUAUCCUACCACUGAUGUGAGACUCUGCUGAAUCUGAAGUGAUGCUGCAUGCAGUUCACAAGAGUUUCCCCUUCUGUGUGCAGCACAUAAGUCAAAAGGAUAAACAUGCAUUCUUAAAGGUAGACAAAGCUAUUUACAGUAUAUUCACUAACAGCUCAUUAAGGACAUUCCGUGUGGGUCGUAGGCUACAACAUUGGAAUUGUUAAAAGAACUUUCACGAGUCAACACUGCAAGGCAACAUGCAGUCUGGUAUGUUACUGCCGAAAGGAGCAGAGAUAAUUUCCGUGAUAUUAGUUUGAAAUCAAGCCAAUGUUGAUGUUAUGAAAAUAUAAAUGUUCAGAGGGGGAACCUGGUCUGUCUCACAAAAUGUGAUAUUAUUCAAAAUGACAAAAUGACAACUAAAUGACGUCCUUCAUUGACAAGAAAGGGAAAUCAUUCAUCAUAAGAUACAUUUGUAUUAAUUUAUACAGUGUACAUACAUGCAAGUGUGGGUAACCUUCAAUUUUAAUCUUAUUAAAGGCACGUGCACUUAGCGUGAUAUGUACUGAAAUAUCCAACCUUCGGCAUCCAUUUUAGAUUUAUAUAUUAUGUAAAUACGUAAUGAUACACAUGGAAUUUUCCUUUCAAUUGUAUCAACUGAAAGUGUAAUAAUUUGUAUGCCUAAUGAUGUAUAUGCACUUCAAUGAUCCUGUUUAUAGUACUUAUACAACUACUACACCACAAUCGAAUAAUUCUGAUUUAUUUAUAUAUAUAGCGAGGAAAUAUUUAAGGGUUUUCUGUUGAGCAUUAUGUAUAUUUCAUGAUUGAGUAUGAAAGAAUAUCGAUAUUUUUACACGAGUGCGGAGGCACGUGUGAAGAAAUAUCAGAAUCUUCCGUCAUACAGUGAUAUAAAGGAAUGAGUCGGCGGACGAAAAACCAAGUGAUUUCCUUUUAUUCCGUUUAAAGGCGAAAUCAAAAUGGCACAGAAAUGAGUAGAAUAACGUAGUAUUCCUAUGAAGUUGCUAUUGGUAACAUAAGAGUGUUAUUCUGAAAUAGCUUUUCAGCUCAAUUUUCUGCGUUCCUGCUGUAAUCCUGAUUUUUGUUUCUUUCAAAAUUCUUGUUAAAUUUGUAUUUGAUUAAAAACUGCAAUAUGUGUUGAAAUUGUACAGUAAAAUCAACAUUUAAACAAUCUGUUGGCAUCUAACCCAUUCCAAUGCGGCGAAUAGAUAGUAGCGUUUUGAUUGGUCGAUUAUUACAAUCUGAUUAAAAACAUAGCUUGAUGUUCGUUCCCGUUCCGUAAACUGAACGGGGCGCAGAUCAACUUGAACCUGUGGAGUGUAGUUUACUGAACGAAAGUGCAGAUCAAGAUAUGAUUUUAAUCAGAUCUGAUGAUAUUUUAAAUAGUGAUGAAAUUAUAUCAUUAUUUUGAUUGUAACACACAAAUUUUUCAUUUUGUUCCGUCUUUUAAUGUUCAGAUAUUAUUUUGGAAUAUUAUAUCUCUAUAUUGUACAGUAGAUAUUUAAAUGAUAACAUUAAAUUAGCAAGUCAUGUCCCUGUUUGAAAGGUUCACCGAUGUCAGUCUCAUUCGCAAUUCGGCAGAGCAGCUAAAUGACAUAUAUUAUACAACUCAUUUACAUACCGCGGUCGCAUUGGAGAUAUUUUCUGUGUUGUUAUAUAAGGAAAGACCUAAGGGCGCCAAUUAAAAAAAAUGGUUCUGAAGCCGCAAGACACCACACAAUUUAGCUGACUAUAUACAAAAUCUAAGAUGUUGACCUGUAUGAACAAACAAGACAUAAAAAUAUUGUAAAUAAAAAAAUAUUAACAUAUCUAGCUCACGUUAAACAAUUCCGACAUUUGUAUGUGUAUGUUUAGUUUAAACAUAUUUUAUUGUCAAUAUACAACAAAAGGAUUGGGCACAAGUUAUAUGAACAUUAUUGACGUCCGUUCCUAAUAAUGUGAUUAAACGUAUGAAUACAUCAAUAAUCAAUUUUUCUUUGUUUUCAUGGUAAACACUCAAAUGUGAUUGGUCGAAAAAUUCUUUUCAUUCUUCUAUGAAAGAAAUUCCGAGAAUGGCGCGAAAAAUGUGACGUCACAAUACGACAAUUGACGUUGCGUAUUGAUUUGAGAAAAAGAAUCCCAUUUAAAACCAGUAAAAUUGUACACAAAACAUGUUUUAAAUUAGAAAAUCAUUUUCAAAAAUUAAUUAUAAGCGUUGAUGUCAAUUUUUCUUUUCUUAAAAAUGACAUCAUUGCUUAAUAAGAUCGCUAAAUUGUGAUAAUUAUGUACAAUACAAUUAUAACUGGACAAGAAAAGGGGGAUAAAAAGAAUGAAAGUGGGAGAGAUUGUUACGAAGUGACAGGUGAAAUGCGACGCUUAUUCAUUGAAGUGGGUCACUUGGCUUACAUUUAUAUAUAGUUUAAAUGUGUUUUUAUGUCAUUUAAUUGUUAUUUUUGCUGUAUGUCAUAGUGACAGCUAUCUAGCCUCUCAUAAAAUGCUCGUAACGGGGAAAUUAGCCCGUUAGCAAGGUAUGUAAUAAACUUUUUAAAAAAUG